GACGAACGCUGGCGGCGUGCUUAACACAUGCAAGUCGAACGGAAAGGCCUGCUUUCCCUUGUGGAUUGCGGGUACUCGAGUGGCGAACGGGUGAGUAACACGUGAGUGAUCUGCCCCCAACUUGGGUAUAAGCCUGGGAAACUGGGUCUAAUUCCCAAUAGGACUGCAGGGUGGUGCCUGUGGUGGAAAACGAUUUUCUAGUGGUUGGGGAUGAGCUCGCGGCCUAUCAGCUUGUUGGUGGGGUAAUGGCCUACCAAGGCGGCGACGGGUAGCCGGCCUGAGAGGGUGGACGGCCACAUUGGGACUGAGAUACGGCCCAGACUCCUACGGGAGGCAGCAGUGGGGAAUAUUGCACAAUGGGCGGAAGCCUGAUGCAGCGACGCCGCGUGGGGGAUGACGGCCUUCGGGUUGUAAACUCCUUUCGACCGCGAGGAAGCCACCUGGUUGGAAGGGUGGUGACGGUAGUGGUAGAAGAAGCACCGGCUAACUACGUG
rnacentral:rRNA from 1 species